AUGUACUAACCUCUAGUUUCUCUUAUACUUUUGCCGUCUACCUUGGCAUUCUAUCUAAAAAGGUACAAACAUCGCAUUGUCAAAAAGAGGUCGUUUUAGUGCGUAGGCGCUGUGGGACUUCAUUAUCCCGAUGAUGCAGCGAAUCGUGCAUACGAGAUUGUCCAGUAGUUGGUUGCUCGUAUCUUUAGAAGAUAGCCAAAUGACUCGUCAUC
rfam:Drosophila willistoni strain TSC#14030-0811.24 scf2_1100000000776 genomic scaffold, whole genome shotgun sequence.